rnacentral:rRNA from 1 species
UACGUAGGGUGCGAGCGUUAAUCGGAAUUACUGGGCGUAAAGCGUGCGCAGGCGGUUUUGUAAGCCGGAUGUGAAAUCCCCGGGCUUAACCUGGGAAUGGCAUUCGGGACUGCAAGGCUGGAGUGCGGCAGAGGAGACUGGAAUUCCUGGUGUAGCAGUGAAAUGCGCAGAUAUCAGGAGGAACACCAAUUGCGAAGGCAGCUCGCUGGGACGUGACUGACGCUGAGACGCGAAAGCGUGGGGAGCAAACAGG